GUGGGGAAUAUUGGACAAUGGGCGAAAGCCUGAUCCAGCCAUGCCGCGUGUGUGAAGAAGGUCUUCGGAUUGUAAAGCACUUUAAGUUGGGAGGAAGGGCAGUAAGUUAAUACCUUGCUGUUUUGACGUUACCGACAGAAUAAGCACCGGCUAACUUCGUGCCAGCAGCCGCGGUAAUACGAAGGAUGCAAGCGUUAAUCGGAAUUACUGGGCGUAAAGCGCGCGUAGGUGGUUUUGUAAGUUGGAGGUGAAAUCCCCGGGCUCAACCUGGGAACUGCCUCCAAAACUGCAUGACUAGAGUACGGUAGAGGGUAGUGGAAUUUCCUGUGUAGCGGUGAAAUGCGUAGAUAUAGGAAGGAACACCAGUGGCGAAGGCGACUACCUGGACUGAUACUGACACUGAGGUGCGAAAGCGUGGGGAGCAAACAGGAUUAGAUACCCGGGUAGUCC
rnacentral:rRNA from 1 species